rnacentral:rRNA from 1 species
CUUGUACACACCGCCCGUCACACCAUGGGGAGUGGGUUGCAAAAGAAGUAGGUAGCUUAACCUUCGGGAGGGCGCUUACCACUUUGUGAUUCAUGACUGGGGUGAAGUCGUAACAAGGUAACCGUAGGGGAACCUGCGGUUGGAUCACCUCCUUACCUKAAAGAARC